AUUGAACGCUGGCGGCAGGCCUAACACAUGCAAGUCGAACGAGUGGCGGACGGGGGAGUAAUGUCUGGGGAACUGCGCGCAGGCGGGGGAUAACUAAGGGGAACGGUAGCUAAUACCGCAUACCAUCGGGUGUGCCCAGAUGGGAUUAGCUAGUAGGUGGGGUAACGGCUCACCUAGGCGACGAUCCCUAGCUGGUCUGAGAGGAUGACCAGCCACACUGGAACUGAGACACGGUCCAGACUCCUACGGGAGGCAGCAGUGGGGAAUAUUGCACAAUGGGCGAAAGCCUGAUCCAGCCAUGCCGCGUGUGUGAAGAAGGUCUUCGGAUUGUAAAGCACUUUCAGUUGGGAGGCGUUACCAGCAGAAUAAGCACCGGCUAACUUCGUGCCAGCAGCCGCGGUAAUUC
rnacentral:rRNA from 1 species